CCCAGUCGAUGCGCCAAGCCAGCUGAGUGGGUCUUUUUAUUUUUUUCGCGCGAAAGUUUAUGUGGUGAGCUGUGUUGGUAAAGAUGAAGAUGUCAGUCAAUGAAAUUUGCUAUAUUUCUUGUGUCUAGCCAACCCUGUACGGAUCGAACUGACGAUUCCCGAGUGCGACAAAUGUCCUGAAGUCUGCUCCUAUUAGCUAGGUAUCUAGAAAUUUCAACUUGAGUGUCAAGUGAAGACUUUGCCAGUUGCAGACGAGAGAAUUCUCGCUUCACGAUUUUCCUGGUGUGUGGAGAUACGUUGGAAUGCCGACCCACCACACCCGACAUGAUGCUUCGGCCGGAAUGCAGAAAGGAUCAUAUGUAGUGCCUGCUCAGCAUUACAUCCAUUGCGUAGCAGGCUGCCAUCCUUCCGCGACUUGGGUGGAAUGACGUGCAAGUGGUGCUCCAGGGUCAACUUCAAUUUGCCGAGCACGUAUGCCGCUGGCUUAGGGUCAGCAGUUGGGUGCGAAGUCUCUGUAUACAAAUCGUCCACUGUCGUCAACAAUAUGGCACCCUUGUCCAGCAAUUCACGUGCUGUAGCGGCAAUGGCUAUAAUUAUUGGGAAGAUCACUCUCGGCACCUUCCGUGCUGUAUUGAGAGAUGAUGCUUCGCAAUUGGUGGUCUGUGCUUGGUGCACUGUCGGCAGGGAGACGUUGUGCAUGCUACGCAACUCAUGCUCUGCAAGUUGAAAGUUUGGUGACUUCCACCUGUCCUGUGUUCUGGUGUGAACCUCGACUUACACCAAGCACAUGUUGCAUGGCCCACACACUGCUGGUAAUGGGCCGGGCACAGAACCGGUUCGCACUGUUCUUUCAGACUGUGCACGUGCAGUUUGUCUGCAGGCCGGACAGUGUACGGAUGCCGCUGCGCUGCAAUCAUGUACACUGCAUGUACUUUGGCAGACUGGUACAUGGUGGCUUAUUUUCUUUCGCUGCUGUGCAUACUUGGCGUCGUAGUGCUUUGACGCACUUCCAAUAAAUGCAUUGGUCUGACGUGAUGGAUGUGCAUGCAUGUGUGUAGCUUUUGCCAGUCUGACAGCAUUGAGCCACAUGUAAAUCGCUUGUCUGAUGGCACUUUGGAGCAAAUGCUGCA